rnacentral:piRNA from 1 species
UGGAAAGGGGGAACUGCCUAUGGAUCCA